rnacentral:lncRNA from 1 species
AUGUUGUUGGUGACUUUAUUUGUUGAAAAUGCUUAAGUGCCGGUGACUUUAAAAGUGAACUUUUGUUUAGAAGGUGAUGUUGUUGGUUACUUUAUUUGUUGAAAAUGCUUAUGUGCCGGUGACUUUAAUAGUAAAUUAGUGUUUAGAAAAUGAUGUUGUUGGUGACUUUACUUGUUGAAAAUGCUUAAGUUUUGGUGACUUUAAUAGUGAAUUAGUUUCGUUGGUGCCUUUGUUAGUUGAAAAAGCUU